rnacentral:rRNA from 1 species
CUGGUAGUCCACGCUGUAAACGAUGUCGAUUUGGAGUUUGGGGGCAUGACCCUUGGGCUCCGGAGCUAACGCGUUAAAUCGACCGCCUGGGGAGUACGGCCGCAAGGUUAAAACUCAAAUGAAUUGACGGGGGCCCGCACAAGCGGUGGAGCAUGUGGUUUAAUUCGAUGCAACGCGAAGAACCUUACCUGGUCUUGACAUCCAUAGAAUCUUUCAGAGAUGAGAGAGUGCCUUCGGGAGCUAUGAGACAGGUGCUGCAUGGCUGUCGCCAGCUCGUGUUGUGAAAUGUUGGGUUAAGUCCCGCAACGAGCGCAACCCCUAUCCUUUGUUGCCAGCACGUAAUGGUGGGAACUCAAAGGAGACUGCCGUUGAUAAAGCGGAGGAAGGUGGGGACGACGUCAAGUCAUCAUGGCCCUUACGACCAGGGCUACACACGUGCUACAAUGGCGUAUACAAAGGGAUGCGAAGGUGCGAACUGGAGCGGACCUCACAAAGUACGUCUAAGUCCGGAUUGGAGUCUGCAACUCGACUCCAUGAAGUCGGAAUCGCUAGUAAUCGUGAAUCAGAAUGUCACGGUGAAUACGUUCCCGGGCCUUGUACACACCGCCCGUCACACCAUGGGAGUGGGUUGCACCAGAAGUAGAUAGCUUAACCUUCGGGAGGGCGUUUACCACGGUGUGGUUCAUGACUGGGGUGAAGUCGUAACAAGGUAACCA